rnacentral:rRNA from 1 species
CUGCGAGUGAAGAGGGAAGAGCUCAUCAUUGGAAUCUGGCAGUGUUGCACUGUCCGAGUUGUAGAUGAGGAGUAGUCCGUCUGGACUGCAUGGCGUCCAAGUACAAUAGGCCGUCAGUGGGACAUCAUAGAGGGUGACAAUCCCGUCCUUGACGCCAAUGUGCAAGUCUAUUACGAUGGCUAUCUCAGAGAGUCGAGCAGUUUGGGAUUUGCUGCUUAAACAUGGGAGGUAGAUUCCUUCUAAAGCUAAAUACAGGCGAGAGACCGAUAGAGAACAAGUACCGCAAGGGAAAGAUGAAAUAGCACUCUGUGAAGGGAGUCAAAAGGCGUGAAAUUGUUGCGAGAGAAGCGAUUCAAGUCAGCGUAGCUAGGCCCAUCAAGCGUCUUCGCUUUGGACUAGCUUUGCCAGCGGUCUUGUCCCUUGAAGAGACUUGACUUGUAAUAUGUCCAGCCUGGCGUGCACAGGCAGCCCCUUCUGGGGGCCAGUGGCAUGGCUGGUGGAAUGGCUUGCAAUCGACCCGUCUUGAAACACGGACCAAGGAGUCUAACAUGUAUGCGAGUAUAAGGGUGGCAAACCCGUAUGCGCAAUGAAAGUGAUUUUCGGUGAUUGAGAAUGGCCUGAUGACCAGACAAGCAAUAUAUGUCCCUCGUACGGCCAUUGCCCAAGUUCCGUGGUAGAUCCCACGAACAUGGAGUUGGAGCAUACAUGCUAGGACCCGAAAGAUGGUGAACUAUGCCUGGACAAAGCGAAGCCAAAGGAAACUCUGGUGGAGGCUUGUAGCGAUUCUGACGUGCAAAUCGAUCGUCUGAUCUGGGUAUAGGGGCGAAAGACUAAUCGAACCAUCUCAUAGCUGGUU